rnacentral:rRNA from 1 species
GAGACAGCAGUAGCCGCGGUAAUACGAAGGGUGCAAGCGUUACUCGGAAUUACUGGGCGUAAAGCGUGCGUAGGUGGUGGUUUAAGUCCGUUGUGAAAGCCCUGGGCUCAACCUGGGAAUUGCAGUGGAUACUGGAUCACUAGAGUGUGGUAGAGGAUAGUGGAAUUUCCGGUGUAGCAGUGAAAUGCGUAGAGAUCGGAAGGAACAUCUGUGGCGAAGGCGACUAUCUGGGCCAACACUGACACUGAGGCACGAAAGCGUGGGGAGCAAACAGGAUUAGAUACCCCUGUAGUCCCUGUCUCUUAUAC